rnacentral:tRNA from 1 species
GGGGAUUUAGCUCAGUGGUAGAGCACAUACCUAGCAAGCAUGAGACCCUGAGUUCAUUCCCCA